rnacentral:rRNA from 1 species
AGAGUUUGAUCCUGGCUCAGAUUGAACGCUGGCGGCAGGCUUACACAUGCAGUCGAGCGGUAACAGGGGGAGCUUGCUCCCUGCUGACGAGCGGCGGACGGGUGAGUAAUGCUUAGGAAUCUGCCUGGUAGUGGGGGAUAGCCCGGGGAAACCCGGAUUAAUACCGCAUACGCCCUACGGGGGAAAGCAGGGGAUCUUCGGACCUUGCGCUAUUGGAUGAGCCUAAGUCGGAUUAGCUAGUUGGUAGGGUAAUGGCCUACCAAGGCGACGAUCCGUAGCUGGUCUGAGAGGAUGAUCAGCCACAUCGGGACUGAGACACGGCCCGAACUCCUACGGGAGGCAGCAGUGGGGAAUAUUGGACAAUGGGCGCAAGCCUGAUCCAGCCAUGCCGCGUGUGUGAAGAAGGCUUUCGGGUUGUAAAGCACUUUCAGUGAGGAGGAAGGCCUUAAGGUUAAUACCCUUGAGGAUUGACGUUACUCACAGAAGAAGCACCGGCUAACUCCGUGCCAGCAGCCGCGGUAAUA